rnacentral:lncRNA from 1 species
GGUUGGUAACCGACAGAAGCCAUGAUCUUACUUCGCCAAUAAAAUAUAUUUUGAUUUUAAUAACGUCUUCUCUCUUAUAAUUCGAUUUAAAGGGCUUGACCGUUAAAUCGCGUUAUCAGAGGAAGGCAAGACUUGCGACAGUUCAUGCACAGGUCAAUGUAACGCGCAUGUCUUAAUUCGAUUACACGGCAUAUCAAUUUUAAUGCUAAAGCACUCCUCACAAUAUUUUGAAUGCACGGUCUGCUAGGAAGUAACUGAAUUUAUCUAAGGUCAGAUUGUUGAGUUUAUUGUACGCAUAAUUAAUGUAAACCCACCCAUCCCUCCUCUUUUAUUUUUUCGAUACUGCUGUUUUAUGUCUUAUUUUACAGAUUUCUGCUUGCUUUUAACCUCAACAUAGAACUCCUGUCACGGCUUCUGGAUUUACAACUCUUCACCAGUCUAUAAACACAAUUAACC